UGAAAUACGAUAAUAACGAUAACUUUAGGCAUACUUAUCGCUUUGAAAGGUCGUACGUGAUAUUUAUAAAGUGUUCUUUUCGGUCUUUAACAUAUUUGAUGCAAAUAAUUCACACAUCAUGUCAGAUGGCUCCGUAUUUAUUGCCUUUUUAUCAAUUUCCUCGGCAAAAAUUGCAUUCUUAGCUUAUUGUAGACGUAAAAAACUCCAACGCUUUGAACAAAUUGGGACAAUAAAAUCAAUAAACCAGUUUCCUGUUAAAUCUGGUGGUCCAAUACACCUUGACACGGCAAAAUGUACAAUUACAGGAUUACAUUACAACAACAUUACAGACAG
rnacentral:lncRNA from 1 species